AGGCCUGCUUCCAAGAGUGCAAAGAGCUGGCGGGUAGAGACAGGAGAGCCUGUUUUACCUCCAGGGUGUUGAAGCUUACGCUUUUCAUUAAAGAUCAAGGGGUUCUUUGCAUUAAAUCACUCAAUAAGUGAGAGUCACUCAGCCGUGUCCGACUCUUUGUUACCCAUGGGAUUCUCCAGGCCAGAAUCCUAGAGGCGUCUCAAGAACUGGAAGCGAUGGUAAUGAAUGGCGAGGCGUAAGGAUCUUGAAAAUAAUUUUCCACGGCCCCUGGGUCUCAGCCUUCUCCCGGGAGACGGAUGAAUCAGAAUUCAUUUUGAAUGAUUAAGUUCCCAAGUAGCCUGGGAUGGUUAGGCGAUCUUAUCAUUUAAGUCUGCUACAGAGCAUCCUGCAACUCCACAAACUCUAUUGAUGAGAGAUUUCCAGAUGAACCAGAACCUUUAAGAAGUCAAUUGAAAACAGAAGCUCAUUUGAAAUAAUGGACAUAAAGAGAGAAUUUGCAAAUAACACGGGCUAAUGUCACGUGACUAGAGAUACACAGUCUCAGCUCUCCCACUUACUGUAUGGACUUCAUUCAUUCACUGAGCAGAUUAAAAUUAACUGGUCCUAGGUAUUUAUAGGAGAAGACAAUGGCACCCCACUCC
ensembl:lncRNA